GAUCUGGCUCAGGAUAAACGCUAGCGGCAGGCCUAACACAUGCAAGUCGAGGGGCAGCGGGUGGAGUAUUUCGGUACUCCUGCCGGCGACCGGCGCACGGGUGCGUAACGCGUAUGCAACCUACCUUUAACAGGGGGAUAAUCCGAAGAAAUUUGGUCUAAUACCCCAUAAUAUCAUUUAAGGCAUCUUAGAUGGUUGAAAAUUCCGAUGGUUAGAGAUGGGCAUGCGUUGUAUUAGCUAGUUGGUGAGGUAACGG
rnacentral:rRNA from 1 species